rnacentral:rRNA from 1 species
GACGAACGCUGGCGGCGUGCCUAAUACAUGCAAGUAGAACGCACAGUUUAUACCGUAGCUUGCUACACCAUAGACUGUGAGUUGCGAACGGGUGAGUAACGCGUAGGUAACCUGCCUGGUAGCGGGGGAUAACUAUUGGAAACGAUAGCUAAUACCGCAUAAUAUUAAUUAUUGCAUGAUAAUUGAUUGAAAGGUGCAAAUGCAUCACUACCAGAUGGACCUGCGUUGUAUUAGCUAGUAGGUGAGGUAACGGCUCACCUAGGCGACGAUACAUAGCCGACCUGAGAGGGUGAUCGGCCACACUGGGACUGAGACACGGCCCAGACUCCUACGGGAGGCAGCAGUAGGGAAUCUUCGGCAAUGGACGAAAGUCUGACCGAGCAACGCCGCGUGAGUGAAGAAGGUUUUCGGAUCGUAAAGCUCUGUUGUAAGAGAAGAACGGGUGUGAGGAGUGGAAAGUUUCAC